rnacentral:lncRNA from 1 species
AUGAAUUCUCUAGCCAUCAUCUCUCCUCAAACCUCAGCUGUGGGAAAAAUCCCAUGGGGAAAAAGGAAACCCAGCUUUGAGAGCAUCUGGAAUGUGUCUUACAGCUCUGAAAUUUUGGGAUGGUGCCUGCAGGACCUGGAGGUUUGGCACAACCCUACAGGUGUCUUGGUCUGGUUGCACCAUGGAUCGCUGUUUCAGGCUAGCUGCGUCCCAGGGCAGAUUUUUGUUCCCUGCUUCUGUUUGUUUAUAACAGCCUCCAAGACUGCUGCAGAGCCAAGGAAUGACUGGCUGUUUUCUCAAUCUCAAAUAUUGGCUUGGAAGGAAUGGGUUCAUCAUUAGCUCGAGCACUCUUUAACUCGCUUGCUAACAGGAAUGCUGCUGUUUCCCUGCUCUCUGAUAUCAAUUGUAAUAGCAGGCAUACAAUGUCACCUUUUUCUUCCAGGCUCAUCCAGCUAGAUUAGGAUAAACCAGUAUGUACAAAGGCAUCCAGUCCUGAUGCAAAUAUAAUUCAAGGGAUGAGUAUUAAGUCUCACACUCUGUUCAGAUUUUUUCUUUUUUUCACUGUAGAAACUGGGAAAUUAUUUCCGUAUCUUAGUUUCUUUGUGUCAGCUUUCCAACAUUAGGUUUUAAAAAAGUUUUUCCUAAAGUUAAAGAUGUUCUCCUACUAUAAAUCCUAUGUCAGCCACAAAUACACCAACUAUUUUUCACUUGCUGAGUUGAGCCUCCUUCAUGAAGAUCACUUCUGGAACAAUGUGACGGAUUAUGAGUUAUAGUGAGGAAGCCUAAAAUAAAUUCUAAUUAAAGUGCA